AUUGAACGCUGGCGGCAGGCCUAACACAUGCAAGUCGAGCGAGAAAGGUCUUCGGACUGAGUACAGCGGCGGACGGGUGAGUAAAGCGUAGGAAUCUACCUGGUAGUGGGGGAUAACUUGGGGAAACUCAAACUAAUACCGCAUACGCCCUACGGGGAAAGCGGGGACCUUCGGGCCUCGCGCUAUCAGAUGAGCCUGCGUAGGAUUAGCUAGUUGGUGAGGUAAAGGCUCACCAAGGCGACGAUCCUUAGCUGGUCUGAGAGGAUGAUCAGCCACACUGGGACUGAGACACGGCCCAGACUCCUACGGGAGGCAGCAGUGGGGAAUGUUGCGCAAUGGGCGAAAGCCUGACGCAGCCAUGCCGCGUGUGUGAAGAAGGCCUUAGGGUUGUAAAGCACUUUCAAUUGGGAAGAAAGUUAGGUCGUUAAUAGCGGCCAGCCCUGACAUUACCUUUAGAAGAAGGACCGGCUAACUCCGUG
rnacentral:rRNA from 1 species